CGGCUGCGCAAUGGCCGCCGAGCAGAGCCGAGGGCUGGCGCAGAGCCCGGCGCGGCUCGGUGGUGGGAGCCGGAGCCUUCGCUCCGCACCUCCGCUGCUGGGGCAGCCGAGCAGAGCUCCCGAGAGCCGGAGGGUUUGCGCUGGAGCCGAGCGAGCCGCGGCCUGCGGCAGCCCCGCGGCCGCGCUGAGCGCCGAGCAGGCUGGCAGCGCUGUGCCCGGCCAUGGCAGCACCACACGCGGCCGCUGCCCCGGGUUCGCGUGCUCCGCAAAGCCAGGUCCUGCACAUCUCCCUCAACGCUCCCACUAAAUUCCGAGGGCAUUUUCACGUGUGAGACUUAACUCGCCUGCAAAAGUAUUCCCAGAACUAGGCCUCGCUUAAGCUGUCCAUGGCAGCUUAAGUGCCUUCUCAUCUAGAAACCAGUUGUGACCCACACAUUGCAUCCCAAACUGCUGCAGCACCACACCACCUACUCUGUGACCGCAGAGCGUCCCAGCAGAGCCCUGAGACAAGUUUCCCUCUUCUGUGUUGCUUUUCUCACCGCCUAUUAUAAUAACAAGUUACAACAUCGCCAGUGCACAGAGGUCUAAAUCAGGAAGAACCUACAUGAACCACAGGCAGCCUCUCUGCCUCUGCUCUGAAUCAGGUGUAUUGCACCACUGGCAUACAGGAAAGUGAACUGAUAAUGAAAACACACAACAUGUUUUCUGACUUUGUGCCAAGCACAAAGUUUGUCAAAUGUCACUCAGUGUCAUUCCAUGCCACAGACAUCCCUGGAAGAGAGGUGACUCUCUAAUGUGAAUUAAGUCUCCUAAACGUUAAACUUAAGACUGUUUGUUGGUUUUUGUUGGUUUGCUUUUGUCAAAGGAGGGGGGGAUGGAACCAAACAAAAACUAGAUUCGGGAGAAAUUAUGUAAACUCGGGUAGUAAAUAAGCCAAUUUUUUGAAAGAAGCAUAAAUAUAAAAGCCAAAUGAUACAAAUUGCUGAUGCUUUAAACAUUGACAUAGGAAAAACCAUUAAAAGCUAUGAAGCUAUUAAAAGCUAUGAAGAUGAAAAAAUCCAACUUCUGCUUUGUGCCAAAGACUGCAAUGUGUCACACAUUACAGAGGGUAACCUGGAGUCUUCCCUUACACAGAUAAGGUAGUUCCAGCUACUCUGUGUAACAGGCAAGGAUUCACAUUUUGUGAUUAUCAGCAUGGGCUUUGCCCUCCUGUACUUGUCUUGGUUAGAGAUAUAGAGACUGGAUUUCACCUACAACUCCCUCAUGCCAAACCUGUUUAUCUAAGUAAGAAUAAUUACUCUGGUAACAAAAUAAGCAUUAACUGAAGAAGGUAAAUGUGGAGAAACAUAAACAAGAAAUUAAGUACUUAAAUUCUGUGGUGCUGAAUGACUUUGACCACGGGUCUUGAUAUUAAGGCUCAAAUACUAAGCCUGGUAUUAAACUCAGAUUGAAGGCAAUGAGAGUUUUAUAAGAGCAUGCCUGAUCUGAAAUCCUACUUGAAUUAAAAAAAUGGAUUGGCUUAUUGUACACUCUGCUUCCACUGAGAGAUCUCUGAGCAUUGGAUCCACCUGCAGUGCUGGGAUAUCCUGGCUCUCCCCCACUCCUGUCAUUACAGGGGCACUACUCAUCCAGAGAGGAAGAUGUCCUAAAUCCCAAGACGAUUGGCACAGCACACACAAGAGGAAAUCUCAGCGCACAGCCAAUGCCAGGCAAUGAAGGAUCCUCUGUGGGAGUUGGUUAGUAGUGCCAAUGUUUGAUAUUUGUCGUAACAACCACCGACUGUUUUGUUUUUUGUUCUAACAAUGUGAAUUAUUCAUUAAACAUUAAUACAAGUGAGUGUACUUUCUUUUGAUCUUCAAGCAUAAUCAUUUCUAAUGAGAGCUUAUACAUGAGCAUUGAAACAAAUCCCUGAGUCAUGUGAAUUUACAUUGGUUUUACUCUGUGGGAAAGAUCCCACAUGAGUUACUCAUGUCUGUAAAACAUAACAUACUUAGAAGAAAAAAAUGAGCUUGCAUUUGUCUGUUGGAACAUAAAUAUCUGCGUAGACAUUUGGCUUGUGCUCUAGCAGUAAUGAAACAUUAAAAAGUUAAUUUAUCAGAGAUCAGGAUUCAGGGUGGGGCCCUCAACUAAUGUGAGAUCCAAGUUUGCUCAGAAUAAGCUCACCUCUUAGUCUCUCCCAUCUGGCUUCUUAGAAGAGUUGAGCCUAGUAUCAGAGGAAUUUGAACUAGCUCUAAGUAAAGGGAUGAGAAUUUGGCUUGCUUGAUAGAGAUAAAAGUUGCCAAACUGCCAUCACCAAGCUAUAAUAUGCCAAUCCAUGGCAGGCAAACUGUGCAGUGCUAAGUGGCACCUCUCCAAAUGCCCUUGACAGCCAGUGCAGGCCAGACCCACUGUAGAACCUGCUUGGCCAUGUUUAAUAUCUGCACUUCUUAAAACAACAGUCACAAAUGGUGCAUUCCAUAAAAACAUAAACACUAUGGAUUGUGCAACUGCCAAGACAGUUAUUUAAAAUGCAAACAGAAUUUAAGCCCUUUCCCCUUUGACACACUGCACAAAUAUUAAAGCAACAAGUGAUUAACAGUCUGCACUUCAGCAGCCGUGCUGCAUGUGCAAGGGACAGGCAGCACACUGGGGAAAGUACGGGAUGGGCCCCAUUCCUGGGGCUGCAGGUCCUCCCUACAAGAUUUCCAGAAUGCCUCUUGCCUUUCCAAACAGACCUCAAUGCCAAAGGUUGCAGAAGGUGGCUGUCAAGAAGGUAUUAUGUUUAAUGGCAGAUAGGCUCUAUCUAUGAUUAAGGUCAUAUCUCAGGAAUUCUCAAAAACCCAUUAAUGUAUUUUAUUCUUAAUGUGCAAGUGCUAAAGGAGUCCUGGAAGCCAGAAAUCCAGGAUUACCCCACAUAAUUCAAUGUUUUCACAGGAGGCUACAGUCAUGCUCUCUGCUGCUUCCCUUCUCUUGCCUGAAUAACCUUAAAUGCUGAUGGUACAUCUUCAAAAGGAGAGUGGAAGCAGCCUAUGCAUAGAAUAGUUUAUAGACUGGAAGAAGAGCAAACAAAACCCUUCAUCCCUGAACUUGAAUUCUGCAAGUGCUCUGUUUUAUAUAAUGACAGAGGGACUAUUGCAGUAGUGAAGAAAGCAACUCAGACACUCCAUUAUGGAACCCCAACACUCUUUGUAUUAAUUAUUUUCCCUGAGGUUGCACAACUUCACCUGGCAUGUAAAGUUAAAAGAUAAAUAGGUCAAUAUUGGGUCUUCAAUAAUUUUGGAUAGAAGGACCUCAGCUCCAUCUAGACCCUGCUUGAAGCCCAUUGACAUUAUCCAGCUUAAAAAGUUUGGUGAGUCUCCUGACUUUGCAGAAUGUGUCAGUACAUCCCCAGGCACACACAAAGAGCUGUGUUUGCAAAGAUGGGACAGAUACAAGUAGAAAAUGGUACACACAAGCAUUUAGGGAGACCUCUCUAAGCAUCAGCCAGGGUGACAAAGUGUGCUGGCCCAUGGGUUCCCAGGCUGUAUUCACAGCUCUGGAAUGCCUGCUGGAAACACUCCCCUGUAAUUUAGCUCAUUUAGUGUGCAUUAAGGAUGCUCAUUUCUAGACCCCUAAGUGAAAUGUGAUACUGAACUCAUUCUUCCCUCUUACACCAGCAGGCCUCAGCAGAUGGCCAAGAGGCUGAUGGGAAGGAGAGAACACCAGUUUUAAUCCAGUUGUUCAUAAUGGAAAAUGAUGAGAAAAGUGAAAAGAUCUUAUUCUGCAGACCAAGGCAUUUUCUUACAUUUAACUGCCUAACCUCAGGCAGAACCCUGAAUUCCAUUACUCUAUGUGAAUGUUAUGGUAUGGUGAAGUCUAAUUUGGUAAUUACCUGGUCAGAGCCACAGACUAGAAACAAGAUAUGCAGCCAGUGAAAGCCCAGUGGAGUCAUACCAGUUUAUAUUAGCUGAGAACCCAAUCACCAAUUUCAAAUUAAAAAAUUGAGAAGUUGCAUUUUUCCAUGGCAUUUUGGUCACAUUAUAUAGAAGAAAAGAAUAAGAAAAUAAAAAAUAAAGUUGUAGCUAUUUAUAUAACCAAGACAGAAGCAGAACCAAUGUGAAAUCUUUAGCAAUGGAAUUCUACAUCCAAAUUAUUAGGUAUUUCAGUGUUGGUGCCAUUUGGAUUACUGCUUAACUUUAGGGCAGCGAGGUAAGCUCAUUUUCUUGCCUCUGUCUUUUCAGCCACCAUUAGGGCUGCAACCUUCCCAUCCUCCAGGGAGAGGGAGAGAAGUUACACAAUAGGUGUUUUUUCUAUGGGCGGAUGUUUAAAUGUGGAGGGAAACAAUUGAAUUUUAAUGACAAUUUUGAGACUCUUGAAGUUAAUUUCUGGGCAGUGCAGAAAUUAAUGGGGCUUGCUGCUGCCAAGAGCUCCAUGUUCUCCUCUCCUCCUGAUGUUAGCAGGAUUACAGGUCUCAGCUUCUGGCAGAAAUAACUCCCAAAAUAGUAGGGUCCUUCUCUCUUGCCUUCUCUCAAAAGGGAGAGCAAGAGACCUGCUGCUGUCAGACCCAACCAAGAGUCACAGCAGAGCAGUGGCUACAAAAACAGGGUAACUGCACCAGAUUUACACUACCAGAAAUGUGUAGUGUAUUAUCAUUAGGUAUUUACAGCAUAGUAGCAUUAUCCAGGGUGGAAUGGUAAAUUUGUUAGGUGCUGCACAAAACAUUUAACCGGAAAAAGCUCCCGCAUCCAAAAGCACAACAAAAAUGAUUUGAGGAAGGAGAGUGGCAAACAAUGGGAUAUCCUGGGAAAAAAAGUACACCAGUGAUUACAGCAAAGGCAGCAAGCUAUGAAGGCUUUUCCUACAUGCAGGGUAGCAAUAAUUCUGCCAAGAAGGCAAGUUAUUUCCUUUUUAGCUAUGCUAUUUCCACUGCAUUACUGAAUCAUGGUUUGUUAAUGGCUUACAAACAUUAAGUUUAAAAAGCUUUAGGAAUUUUGUCAUACCUAAGACAACACAUACCAAUUUAUCAAUUUCUAUAAAAAUGCAUAAUCCAAUAGGUUUUGGGGUUGUGGUUGUCAGUGUGGGGGUUUUUAAUGCCUUUAAUAAAGAAGGGGUAAUUUUGGUCUUGUUUCAUUUUAGAAAAUUCAGAAAGGAAUAUAACGGGUAGUCCCAGAAUCUGUAUGUAUCUAAUUGUAGAUAGCUAAAUAGAAAAUAAAAGAUGCUUCAAAAUAGUGACAGUUAUUUAAUCUGUUCUGUAGUUGGAUGUUAGAGUGUCAAGAAUUUUCACCAAAAGCAGGAGACCCACUACAGAGGACUGUCUUUUCAAUUUUGGGCUAUGCAAUUAUAGCCCCAAACAGGUCAUGGAAAGGAUCAGCCUUCCCCAUGUUACCCCUCUGGUCAGAUGGCAGCUCCAGCCAAAAAAAGAAAAAGAAGAAAAGAGGACAGCCAUAGCCACCUGGCACUGCCUUUUUGCACAGCAAAAAGCAGACAGGGGAGAAGGGACCUGGUACCCAGCCAGGUGUGGCAGGACUUACAAGCCAGGCUGCCAAGCUGGAGCUCAUCCUCUGAAUGGGAUUCUGCAGGGGAGGGCACAGAGAAGGUAACAUUGGGGAACUGCUUCCCUUGCAAAAAUCUGUGUCCCCAUUUACCCUCUCCCAUGAGAGGGCCAAACAUGCUUCUUAUUGGGCAGAAAAUGUUCAACCUGGUAUGGAGUAUGUUACUGUGUCCACCAGCACGUUUCACGAUGUACAUAAAACAUCAUUCAGUUACAGGAGAAUUAGAAGAAGCAUUAGGGAGACUGACACUACUGACUGAUACCAAACCACUUUUUCCUAACACUUUUUAAAAUAUACUGUACCCAGAGUUUAGCUGUGUCCAUUAUUUCCUUUAACUCACUCAUUUCUGCAAAGGUGAUUUUACUUAGAUCAAAUUUUUGCACUGUACUACUGGAUACUAUGGUACAUUCACUGCUCUAGAACAACUUCACUCAUUUAGAAACCCCACCAUAAUGUUUUGCCAUUGGAUUUCUGCUGAGAAGUAGAGGCACUAGCUCACAAACACCCCUUCCAAGUCCUUACUGAGCCUUCCCAAGAGCCUGUGUUACACUUACCAGGCUUGCACACACAGCUAAAUCCAUGUGCCCCUGCUCUGAACCCCUGGGACAUGGGUGCUCAGUUAAGACUACAGAGAAAGGAAAAGCAGGGCCACAGUCAAUUAUUUUAAUGGCUGUUAAUGUAAAAACAUAUUCCUAACAUUCCUAACCUUACUACAGCCAAAUAUAUGGUAGGAGACCUGGUUUUGCAUGAACCAAUUUCUUUUUUCUUUCUAACUCUUUUGUAUGAGUGAUGAUUUUUGAGAGAUUGGUGUAGUAAUGUUCAGUUGUUAUGCUGCUUCACAUUUCUACCUGUGCAGAUGGGAUAUCACAUUUCUGUCUAAGUUACCAAGACCAUUCAGAGUUAACAUCCACAAACAGUUUCCUCUAUUCCAGCAUUAGUUGCCACUUCUUGGGACAAUUCUUUAGGUAAAAGUCCAAUAGAAAUGGCCCUUCACUAAUUUCCACUGCAGCUCAGGUUUUCUGCCUCAGCUUUUAUGCUGCUGUGAGCACGUACAAAAUGGGAUGCUAGUUUUUGUCCCUCUGCCCUCAGUCCAAGUAGUGCUAUGAAAGAAUAAUUCUGUCUGAUUUCACAUAAUUCUGCUCUUGCAGUUAGAAAUACAGGAAUUAAUAGUCAAGAAGUUCUUUGGGUACUGGAAAGAUUAACAAGUCUUUUAAUCUUGAUACAGGUGACCACAAGGUACAAGCAUUAUAGGCAUUUGAUGAAUGAAGGGUUGCCACUAAAUGAAAGCCACUAUCACAAAGCUCUAGAGGAAAUCGUUGCAACAAGGUUUUAGGAGUUUGUGAAGGCACCGUGAAAUGAGCACACUUUAUGAGGCUACAGCGUGUGUGUAGAAGGUAUAUGCAACCUGCUCUGUAUUCCUAAAAUGAUCACCAACAUAUCAUUGGGAACUUGGCCUUCUGAGAGUUAUUUCUCUCUCUGUGCCUCAGUUCCCUCAUAUGAAAGUCAGGAUUAUGUCUUUGGUGCUUCUUGGAUGAACAGAACAAGUUCACCUUUUAAAUGUCAAGUGUUACAAUCAAUCACAGGUUUACCACAUCUUUUCUACCUAACCAUUUAAGACUAUUAAUAUCAAAAUAAGCCACUCAAAAAUUAGUAAAGAUUGAAGAAGUCCCAGACUGUGGAACGUGAAUCUCAGUGAUUUCAAUGGAUAUGAUGCCAGCCUCAGAGAGGAGAUUAGCUCCAAUGUGAUUGGAAAGAUCCCAUAACUCCAGUGACAAAUAAUUUGUUCUGCAUUUUCUGUUAGUUCAGGAAAGAUCUAUGCCAGUCCCAAUACAGUCCCUCAGCUAUUGUUUUCCUCCACUUUGAAUAUUUCCCGAUGAAUUCUGUUUGCUACCUAACAAACUAUCAAAAAAUAAAACUUCAGACCCCA